GACGUAGGGCGCGAGCGUUGUCCGGAUUUAUUGGGCGUAAAGAGCUCGUAGGCGGUCUGUCACGUCGGACGUGAAAAUCCAGGGCUCAACCCUGGACCUGCGUUCGAUACGGGCAGACUAGAGUUCGGUAGGGGAGACUGGAAUUCCUGGUGUAGCGGUGAAAUGCGCAGAUAUCAGGAGGAACACCGGUGGCGAAGGCGGGUCUCGUGGGCAACAACGUGACGCUGGAGGAGCGAAAGCGUGGGGAGCGAACAGGA
rnacentral:rRNA from 1 species